CCUACGGGGGGCAGCAGUGGGGAAUAUUGCACAAUGGGGGAAACCCUGAUGCAGCGACGCCGCGUGAGUGAAGACGUAUUUCGGUACGUAAAGCUCUAUCAGCAGGGAAGAAAAUGACGGUACCUGACUAAGAAGCUCCGGCUCACUACGUGCCAGCAGCCGCGGUAAUACGUAGGGGGCAAGCGUUAUCCGGAUUUACUGGGUGUAAAGGGAGCGUAGACGGCAGCGCAAGUCUGGAGUGAAAUCCCAUGGCUUAACCAUAGAACUGCAUUGGAAACUGUGCAGCUAGAGUGCAGGAGAGGUGAGCGGAAUUCCUAGUGUAGCGGUGAAAUGCGUAGAUAUUAGGAGGAACACCAGUGGCGAAGGCGGCUUACUGGACUGUAACUGACGUUGAGGCUCGAAAGCGUGGGGAGCAAACAGGAUUAGAUACCCGAGUAGUC
rnacentral:rRNA from 1 species